UACGUAGGGUCCGAGCGUUGUCCGGAAUUAUUGGGCGUAAAGAGCUCGUAGGCGGUUUGUUGCGUCGGCUGUGAAAUCCCGAGGCUCAACCUCGGGUCUGCAGUCGAUACGAGCAAACUAGAGUGUUGCAGGGGAGACUGGAAUUCCUGGUGUAGCGGUGAAAUGCGCAGAUAUCAGGAGGAACACCGGUGGCGAAGGCGGUUCUCUGGGCAUUACCUGACGCUGAGGAGCGAAAGUGUGGGGAGCGAACAGG
rnacentral:rRNA from 1 species